rnacentral:rRNA from 1 species
CCUACGGGAGGCAGCAGUGGGGAAUAUUGCGCAAUGGGGGAAACCCUGACGCAGCAACGCCGCGUGCGGGAUGAAGGCUUUCGGGUUGUAAACCGCUUUCAGCAGGGAAGAUAAUGACGGUACCUGCAGAAGAAGCCCCGGCUAACUACGUGCCAGCAGCCGCGGUAAUACGUAGGGGGCAAGCGUUAUCCGGAUUCAUUGGGCGUAAAGCGCGCGCAGGCGGGCCGCUAAGCGGGACCUCUAAUCUUGGGGCUCAACCUCAAGCCGGGUCCCGAACUGGCAGCCUCGAGUGCGGUAGGGGUAAGCGGAAUUCCCGGUGUAGCGGUGGAAUGCGCAGAUAUCGGGAAGAACACCGAUGGCGAAGGCAGCUUACUGGGCCGACACUGACGCUGAGGCGCGAAAGCUAGGGGAGCGAACAGGAUUAGAUACCCCUGUAGUC